rnacentral:rRNA from 1 species
CCUACGGGUGGCAGCAGUGAGGAAUAUUGGUCAAUGGACGAGAGUCUGAACCAGCCAAGUAGCGUGAAGGAUGACUGCCCUAUGGGUUGUAAACCUCUUUUAUAUGGGAAUAAAAUGUUCCACGUGUGGGAUUCUGUAUGUACCAUAUGAAUAAGCAUCGGCUAACUCCGUGCCAGCAGCCGCGGUAAUACGGAGGAUGCGAGCGUUAUCCGGAUUUAUUGGGUUUAAAGGGUGCGUAGGCGGUUUGUUAAGUCCGUUGUGAAAGUUUGCGGCUCAACCGUCAAAUUGCAGUUGAAACUGGCAGUCUUGAGUUCAGUAGAGGUAGGCGGAAUUCGUGGUGUAGCGGUGAAAUGCUUAGAUAUCACGAAGAACUCCGAUUGCGAAGGCAGCUCACUGGACUGCGACUGACACUGAGGCUCGAAAGUGUGGGUAUCAAACAGGAUUAGAUACCCUUGUAGUC